GUAGGUGGCAAGCGUUGUCCGGAAUUAUUGGGCGUAAAGCGCGCGCUGGUGGUUCUUUAAGUCUGAUGUGAAAGCCCCAGGCUCAACCGGGGAGGGUCAUUGGAAACUGGGGAACUUGAGUGCAGGAGAGGAAAGUGGAAUUCCACGUGUAGCGGUGAAAUGCGUAGAUAUGUGGAGGAACACCAGUGGCGAAGGCGACUUUCUGGCCUGUAACUGACACUGAGGCGCGAAAGCGUGGGGAGCAAACAGGGAUUAGAUACCCUGGUAGUCCACGCCGUAAACGAUGAGUGCUAAGUGUUGGGGGGGUUUCCCGCCCCUCAGUGCUGCAGCUAACGCAUUAAGCACUCCGCCUGGGGAGUACGGUCGCAAGACUG
rnacentral:rRNA from 1 species